UUAACUUAAAACAAGUCUUUUUCCAUAAUUUGAAGUAGAAUAAUUCAACAACGCAUGGGUAAUAGUAGUACCAUAUAUUAUAAAAAUUCAAAUUUGAAUUGUGUUCUUAUAGCAAAUAUUACUAUUUUUCAACAAAGAUAUCAAAUGUCAUGGAUUUGAUUGUUGAAUUGUGUUCUUAUAGCAAAUAUUACUAUUUUUCACAAUCUGCCAAGUCUCUUUCACUCUUCCAUUAACAAGCACCGGCGGUGGUGAUUUCGGUGCCGUUUCGGUGAACGGCCGGAGGGAGAUCGAUUGGAGAUCCGCACCGGUGCCGGAGGAUGGUCUGUUGCGGCUUUGUGGAGGUGGGAGAUUCUGUGCGUCUUGGUUGCUUCGUCGUACUUCUUGGCGUCUCGGUCUAAAAAUUCAUGUGAUCGAAGCUGUAGGGAAUCUGGAUCUGAUUUUGCGGCGGAACGGAGAUAUGGUGGGUCGCGACCUCGAGACGCCAUCAGAGACAGUUGUUGUGCAAAGCGAGAUGCGCGGUCGGACUGGUGUUCUGCGGAUCUGGACCGUGACUUUUUCUUCCUUUUCUUUUCCUCUAUUUUCGUUACUGAGUUGCUGUUUUUAAACUACCUGUGAUUUCCUUGUGAAUGUAGAAGGCAAAUCAGAAGCAUGUUGGAUUUUGAUGCCUUUCUUGCGGAAGAGAGUUUGGAUUUUGGAGGAGACUGAGAUUAAGAAUCAAAUGAACCGGUUGAGUUCGCCAACGGCCGUACGGCGUCUUGCAGAGAGUCCGGCACAGGUUUGUGUGGAGUGUCAAUAAGGGUGUCGUUGAUAAAUUAUUUACUUGGUGAUGAUGUUGAAUCAAGGUGUUAAAUCUAAAUAAAUUAUUUACUUGGUGAUGAUGGUGAAUCAAGUUGUUAAAUCUUAAUAAAUUGUUUACUUGGUAAUGCA